AGGCUUAACACAUGCAAGUCGAGCGGGCGUAGCAAUACGUCAGCGGCAGACGGGUGAGUAACGCGUGGGAACGUACCUUUUGGUUCGGAACAACACAGGGAAACUUGUGCUAAUACCGGAUAAGCCCUUACGGGGAAAGAUUUAUCGCCGAAAGAUCGGCCCGCGUCUGAUUAGCUAGUUGGUGGGGUAAUGGCCCACCAAGGCGACGAUCAGUAGCUGGUCUGAGAGGAUGAUCAGCCACAUUGGGACUGAGACACGGCCCAA
rnacentral:rRNA from 1 species